rnacentral:rRNA from 1 species
AGUGAACGCUGGCGGCGUGCCUAAUACAUGCAAGUCGAACGGAGUGGCGCACGGGUGAGUAAUAUAUAGCUAAUCUGCCACUUGCUGGAGGACAACAGUUAGAAAUGACUGCUAAUACUCCAUAGCAAGGGAUGAGACUAUAUCGUAUAAGCUAGUCGGUGGGGUAACGGCCUACCGAGACUAUGACGGGUAACUGGUCUGAGAGGAUGAUCAGUAACAGUGAAAGGGAGACACCGUCAAAACUCCUACGAAAGGCAGCAGUAGGGUAUAAUGCGCAAUGGGAGAAACGCAGACGCAGCAACGCCGCGUGGAGAAUGACACUUUUCGGAGCGAAAACUCCUUUUGUUAGGGAAGCGGUACCUAACGAAUAAGCACCGGCUAACACCGUGCCAGCAGCCGCGGUAAUUC